GGGGAAGCACACAACAUCUGGAUCCAUUAGAGCUCAUCCAUCAACAUGACUGCGAACAUGGAUGGUUAAUUACAGUACAGUGGAAACCGCAUUGGUUGCUCCCAGAGAUCUGCACAAAUUUGGUUAAAUGAGCUGUAAAUAUAAUAAAUCACAAAGAUUCAGGGUGGAACAUCAUCGACCUGCUGAUGGAAAGAAACUGGUGCUUUUAACUAAAAUAAUGUUUUAGUUAGAAACUGGUUGUUUUAUUACCGUAAACCGAUGCAGUUAUAUUCCGCUCAUUGUGAAUAAGAUCAGCUGAUCAGCAGAAACAUCGCCUGAAGUCACAUUCGUCUGUUCCAGUCGUGUUUCAUGGAAAAUUCAGUUUUCGAAAAUUGUUUCUAAAUGGUUUUAUGUGAUGUUUAAGUACGCACUUAUUAACUAACUCUGCAUCUAAAUUUAGUCUAUAGGUGGAGAAAGUUCUGCAUGAACUCACAGUCGGCUAUAAUUCGGCUUAUUUUGUACUAAAGUCUUUAGUUUCAUCCAGAAUCUAAAUAUUGUUUUUGUUAGUCAGUGAACCCAGAUUAUAACGGGUGGACAGACUCAAUUACUGCUGGAAAUAUGGCUGAAAAACUUAUCACGAUAUAAGUGUUUACAUUAGUCGAUAUCAAUAAUUAUUGAUUGGUUUUUUUUGUUUGUUUUAAAUAUCUAAAAUCACUCAAGUUGCUGCUAGGCAACUGAAGAAUGAGUGAGUUGCUAGGUAACUAGCAGUUUUUGUCAGCUGAUGCCACCGAUAUUGCUUAGCUAGCCUUGAGAGGUUCAGUGACUAAAGUCUUUAAUCUGCCUACGCCUCCCAGAAUGCUUUGUGGUUCUGGAUCAGAUAUUUUUGGACGACAAAAGUCUUCAGCCUGGUGCUUCAGUCUCAGCAGGCUGCCUCACCCAACACAUGCAGCUUCCUCAGGCCCUUGAAGGCCUCCUUCUGGAUCCGGUUGAUGUUGUUCUCGUGGAAGCGCAGCUCGAUGACGUUGGGAGGCAGGUUGGCCGGGAUCUCUGUCAGCAGGUUG